AACGAACGCUGGCGGCAUGCCUAACACAUGCAAGUCGAACGAGACCUUCGGGUCUAGUGGCGCACGGGUGCGUAACGCGUGGGAACCUGCCCUUAGGUUCGGAAUAACUCCCCGAAAGGGGUGCUAAUACCGGAUAAUGUCUUCGGACCAAAGAUUUAUCGCCUUUGGAUGGGCCCGCGCUGGAUUAGCUAGUUGGUAGGGUAAAAGCCUACCAAGGCGACGAUCCAUAGCUGGUCUGAGAGGAUGAUCAGCCACACUGGGACUGAGACACGGCCCAGACUCCUGCGGGAGGCGGAAGUGGGGAUGAUUGACCAUGGGGCGAAGCCUGAUCCAGCAAUGCCGCGUGAGUGAUGAGGGCCUUAGGGUUGUAAAGCUCUUUUACCCGGGAUGAUAAUGACAGUACCGGGAGAAUAAGCUCCGGCUAACUCCGUG
rnacentral:rRNA from 1 species